UACGAAGGGAGCUAGCGUUACUCGGAAUUAUUGGGCGUAAAGCGUGCGUAGGCGGCUAAGAAAGUUGGAAGUGAAAGCCCAGGGCUCAACCUUGGAAUUGCUUUCAAAACUACUUAGCUUGAGUGUCAGAGGGGAUAGUGGAAUUCCUAGUGUAGAGGUGAAAUUCGUAGAUAUUAGGAGGAACACCGGUGGCGAAAGCGACUAUCUGGCUGACAACUGACGCUGUUGCACGAAAGCGUGGGGAGCAAACAGG
rnacentral:rRNA from 1 species